rnacentral:lncRNA from 1 species
UUUUUAAAAACAUUUUAAUUAUCUUUAAGUACAGCAAUAUUAUGUUAAUAUUUUUUCGAUUUUAAAAUAAAUAAAUUUUAUCAACAUCAAUUAUGUAGUGUGUGAUCUUUUUAUUAAUUUGUGAUGAGCAAGGGAAGACUAUACACUGAAAAUCAUGAAAACCAUACAUACCAUAAACCUCUGAAUAUAAGCCCCCCUCCCCGUGUAUAAGCCCCCCUUGUGUAAGCCCAUCAAAAAUUGCUUACGAAAGAAUAUAAGCCCAGUGCUUUUAGGUGGAGGUUUACAGUAGAUUGUCAAAAAACUGCAGAACUGAUAAGAUGGUGUCCAUGGGAUACAAUACUUAUGGUAUAAUCAGGGAAGUGACAAAAACACAUGCAAUAGGACUAGUCACUGGGGUAGGGCCAAGACUGUACCAUUAGAAGCUCCCCAGCUCUAUCCUUACAAAUAAAAGAAAUAUCAGUAUUACACCAGACACCAAUAAACAAUUUUUCAGCUUCUGCUAAACAUUUUCUUUCAAUGUUUUUUAACCCAUUGAGUGUCAGCACUCUCCCCCUGAUGAGUAAAUAGUCUAGUAUUAGACAGUAAAAUAAUCUGGCGUUAGGCAGAGUAAAAUAAUAGACAACUGGUUGAUCAUUUGAGCAUAGAUAACUGGUUGAUCAGUAUAAAUCCUUGCAAUGCAUCACACAGUAGUCAAUACAUUUAUAUAUAGUGUUGCGAUAGUGUUGAAUUUCCUCCAUUUCAUUCUUUACAACAAUGCUACCACUGGGCUUCUUCCAUCAUUCAGUGUGUAUGAAUGUCUGUCAGGGUAAACAGGGUUUAUUGGUAAAUUAAAACAGUUAUACAAUUAGUUGGCUGAUGUAAUUCUAUUGGUGUAAGUACACUAUCCAGCUCAUCAUCUUGACUAUCUGGGUCACAUGGUGGGAUUGCUUGGGAUGUUGGUGAUGUUGAAAUGUCAAACUCCCACAACAUAACAUUGCUAUAUUCUUUGUUUAUACCUCCUUCCCGUAGAUCAUUAGGGUCGAAGAACUACAUGAUAUGAAAUAAAAAUACGUUUAAUACUGCUGUAUUUUAUAAAACAACAACAUAGGAGCAUUUUUAUAUUUUUAUAUAAAAAUCAUCUCACCUUAAAAACACAACUAGAGUGAAUUUGUACCAGUGGAGGACUACCGCAAUCAGCGAACAUUUCAUCAAUUUUUAUCCCGUUAACCACAACUGGACAAAGGACUAUUCUUCGAACUAUCUGUAUUAAAAACUAUAAACAUGAACCUCACGUCCUCACGACAUUCAAGUUCAUCACACGGUAAUUCUUCCGGAAUCAAGAUUAAUGGCUGUUUUGACACACAGUGAACACACAGAAGCUCGUGUCCACCCCAAAACGAAGCUUUCUUUCCAUGCAUAGUGCAAAAAUCCACCAUUUUACAAUUUUUUUUCGAUAAAUCUUUUCCGAAUCUUUUGAAACCUCGAGGUGUAAACAGUAGUAAACACAGCGAAAGCCGACCGAACAAUGACGGCGCAGAGCGAGAAAUCGAUAAUAUGUAAAAAACCGCGCCUGACCGCGUUGCAUGCCGG